GACGAACGCUGGCGGCGUGCCUAAUACAUGCAAGUCGAACGAGAGCGACCGGUGCUUGCACUGGUCAAUCUAGUGGCGAACGGGUGAGUAACACGUGGGUAACCUGCCCAUCAGAGGGGGAUAACAUCCGGAAACGGAUGCUAAAACCGCAUAGGUCUUCGAGCCGCAUGGCUUGAAGAGGAAAAGAGGCGCAAGCUUCUGCUGCUGGAUGGACCCGCGGUGCAUUAGCUAGUUGGUGAGGUAACGGCUCACCAAGGCCGUGAUGCAUAGCCGACCUGAGAGGGUGAUCGGCCACAUUGGGACUGAGACACGGCCCAAACUCCUACGGGAGGCAGCAGUAGGGAAUCUUCCGCAAUGGACGCAAGUCUGACGGAGCAACGCCGCGUGAGUGAAGAAGGUUUUCGGAUCGUAAAACUCUGUUGUUAGAGAAGAACAAGUGCUAGAGUAACUGUUAGCGCCUUGACGGUAUCUAACCAGAAAGCCACGGCUAACUACGUG
rnacentral:rRNA from 1 species